GGGUCAGUAGGUUGGUCGUGCCACCGGUACGUACUGGUCUCACUGAUUCCUCCUUCCCGAAGAACCGUAAUGCCAUUAAUUUGGUGUUGCGGGGAAACAGGACUGUUACUUUGAAAAAAUUAGAGUGUUUAAAGCAAGCUGACGCUUGAAUACAUUAGCAUGGAAUAAUGAAAUAGGACGAUCGAUCCUAUUUUGUUGGUUUCUAGGAUUGACGUA
rnacentral:rRNA from 1 species